UGUCUAGGGGCUCAAACCUAAAGAACCUAAAUAUCUAAACGGAGAAAUUCAAUACUACCGUUAAACGUAGUGUGCACUUUUCUCUUAGUAAGACGCCGUGAUCCAUUAGAAAUUGAUACAUACAAAAUGUAUAUUGGGUCAUCAAUAGGCCAGUAUGAAGUUUAUUGGAACAAAUGGCAUGAUCUUUCACGGUUGUGUGUAUUGUCUGGUAAGCAUAUUGUGUCCUGUAAUGACUGUCUGAUGGAUUUUAAAGACAUUAUUAAUGAUGUUUCGGCAUCACUCGUAAUGAGAACUCAAUAAUUGUCUGAUCAACGGCGGUUAAAUUUGGGAUACCUUUUGGACCCGUCUUGAAACACGGACCAAGGAGUCUAUCUAGUAUGCGAGUAAAUGGAUAAUUUUUGAAAUCUAUUUGCAUAAUAAACUUGACUGUUCAAUGGGAAUACGAGAAUAAAUGCAUUAUGUGUAUUUAUCUCUUCCAUCCCGGGGUAUUUUUAUCAACAUAUGCUUGCAUAUGGAAAAUAUACCAUGAGCACACUGGAUACGACCCGAAAGAUGGUGAACUAUGCCUGAUCAGGUCGAAGUCAGGGGAAACCCUGAUGGAGGACCGAAGCAGUUCUGACGUGCAAAUCGAUUGUCAGAAUUGGGCAUAGGGGCGAAAGACCAAUCGAACCAUC
rnacentral:rRNA from 1 species